GACGAACGCUGGCGGCGUGCUUAACACAUGCAAGUCGAACGGAAGGGCCCUGCUUUUGUGGGGUGCUCGAGUGGCGAACGGGUGAGUAACACGUGAGUAACCUGCCCUUGACUUUGGGAUAACUUCAGGAAACUGGGGCUAAUACCGGAUAGGAGCUCCUGCUGCAUGGUGGGGGUUGGAAAGUUUCGGCGGUUGGGGAUGGACUCGCGGCUUAUCAGCUUGUUGGUGGGGUAGUGGCUUACCAAGGCUUUGACGGGUAGCCGGCCUGAGAGGGUGACCGGCCACAUUGGGACUGAGAUACGGCCCAGACGCCUACGGGAGGCAGCAGUGGGGAAUAUUGCACAAUGGGCGGAAGCCUGAUGCAGCAACGCCGCGUGCGGGAUGACGGCCUUCGGGUUGUAAACCGCUUUCGCCUGUGACGAAGAGUGAGUGACGGUAAUGGGUAAAGAAGCACCGGCUAACUACGUG
rnacentral:rRNA from 1 species